rnacentral:rRNA from 1 species
ACCCGCUGAACUUAAGCAUAUCAGUAAGCGGAGGAAAAGAAACUAACUAGGAUUCCCCGAGUAGCGGCGAGCGAAAGGGGAGAAGCCCAGCGCCGAAGCCCGCGACCUCUGGUCGCAGUGCAAUGUGGCGUUUCGGUGGCAACUCGCCGCGACUUCUCUGGCACGCGUACCUCUGAAUGGGUCUGCCCGCAGCGGGUGUCAGGCCUCUACUUGCCGAACGAGUCGUCGUGGCCCGCUGUCAUCGCGGAGUCGGGUUGCUUGAGAGUGCAGCCCAAAGUGGGUGGUAAGCUCCAUCUAAGGCUAAAUACCUAGUGCGAGACCGAUAGCAAACAAGUACCGUGAGGGAAAGUUGCAAAGAACUUUGAAAAGAGAGUUCAAGAGUACGUGAAACCGUUCAGAGGCAAACGGACGGAACUGGGCGAUUUCGUCGCGGUCAUUCAGCCGUCGCCCCGGCGGCGGUGCACUUGGCCGCGGCGGAGCGCGACGACCGCCUGUCGGGUCGUCAGAAGCCCGCCGGCAAGGUGACGGAGCGCUCGCGUUUCGUGUUAUAGGCCGGCGAGGCGUUGGCAGACCUGGCGGGCGAGGAGCGCCUGCCGCGCACUCCCGUUUCGGCGGGAGCCGUCCGACUCGGUGGGCUCGCGGACGCCGGCGGCGAACUGCUCGCAGUUCGUCGUCGCGCGCUUCGCUUGUCGUGCUGGGCGGUGCGGCGAUGCGCGCAGGGUCCGGGUCGCGUGGUUCCCGGCACUCCGUCCGACCCGUCUUGAAACACGGACCAAGGAGUUGAGCACACGCGCGAGUCGAUGGGCUCUAUCGAACCCCAGUGGCGUAGCUAAGGCAAAACGGGCGUGAUCCGGCACUGGCGUGUCGGCGCAACGCCGGCCCGCAGCCGACUCUUUGCAAGUGGCUGCGGCGCAAGAGCGUGUGUGCUCAGACCCGAAAGGUGGUGAACUAUGCUUGAGCAGGGCGAAGCCAGAGGAAACUCUGGUGGAGGCUCGCAGCGAUCCUGACGUGCAAAUCGGUCGUCAAACUUGAGCAUAGGGGCGAAAGACUAAUCGAACCGCCUAGUAGCUGGUUCCCUCCGAAGUUUCCCUCAGGAUAGCUGGCACUCGGGAUAAAUGGUUUUAUCCGGUAAAGCGAAUGAUUAGAGGCAUUGGGGGCGAAACGCCCUCAACCUAUUCUCAAACUUUAAAUGGGUAAGAGGCGCGACCCUUCCUGAUCGGGGUCGCGUGCUUGAACAGCGAGUGCCCAGUGGGCCGUUUUUGGUAAGCAGAACUGGCGCUGUGGGAUGAACCAAACGCGCGGUUAGGGUGCCUAACGCACGCUCAUGAGACACCACAAAAGGUGUUGGUUGAUAUAGACAGCAGGACGGUGGCCAUGGAAGUCGGAAUCCGCUAAGGAGUGUGUAACAACUCACCUGCCGAAUCAACUAGCCCUGAAAAUGGAUGGCGCUGGAGCGUGCGACCCAUACCGCGCCGUCGGGGCAACGCGUGCGAAAUGCCAGGCCCCGACGAGUAGGAGGGCGUGUCGGUGGCGUAGAAGCGUUGUGCGCGAGCACGCGUGGAGCCGCCUUCAGUGCAGAUCUUGGUGGUAGUAGCAAGUAUACAAAUGAGAACUUUGUAGACCGAAGUGGAGAAGGGUUCCAUGUGAACAGCAGUUGGACAUGGGUCAGUCGGCCCUAAGAGAUCGGAAAGUUCCGUUCUGAACGGGGGAGGCUCGCGCACAAAGUCGGCGUCUGACGGCAUCACACGAUAGCCAUGAUAUAGGCUAUGGUGUGCUAAUACGAAUCGUCUUAACGAGGAGCGCCGCAGCGGAUUGAAUCGGCAUGAGCAACCGAUCUUUCCGCGUGCGCGAGGCUUGGUCCCCCGAUGCGAUCGAAAGGGAAUCGGGUUAAUAUUCCCGAACCUGGCAGCGGAGAUUGGGCCCUCGGGCCCCAGUGCGGUAACGCAACCGAACUCGGAGACGCCAGCGUCGAUCCCGGGAAGAGUUCUCUUUUCUUUGUUAGGAGCGGACUCCCUGGAAUUGGCUUGUCCAGAGAUAGGGACGUUGCAUCCGUAAAGCGUCGCGCCUCACGCGGCGUCCGGUGCAUCGGCGUUGGCCCUUGAAAAUCCGAGGGAGGCAGUGUAAUUUUCGCUCCAGGCCGUACCCGAAUCCGCAGCAGGUCUCCAAGGUGAACAGCCUCUGGUCGAUAGAACAAUGUAGGUAAGGGAAGUCGGCAAAUCCGAUCCGUAACUUCGGGAUAAGGAUUGGCUCUGAGGUGCGGGCUGUUUCGGGUCGCGGCAAGAAGCGGGCCGCGCGUUGGUUGGACUGAGCGCGCCUCGCGCGUGUUCGGACCGUUGCCAGCGCGCGUCCGUGGGAGGCCGUGGCUUUCGCCGGCGUGGCGCUCGUCGUCGCGUCGGCUUCGUUCGGCCUAAACGCACAGCACAGAACUGGCACGGACUCUGGGAACACGACUGUCUAAUUAAAACAAAGCAUCGCGAUGGCCGCUGGUCGGUGUUGACGC